UGCCGCGUCGUCGACCCCCUCAGGGGUGUUG
rnacentral:sRNA from 1 species